GAGGGCCCGGAGAUGGUACUGAGACACGGACCCAGGCCCUAUGGGGCGCAGCAGGCGAGAAACCUUUGCAAUGUGCGAAAGCACGACAAGGUUAAUCCGAGUGUCUCCUGCUAAAGGAGUCUUUUGUCAGUUGUAGAAUCACUGGUGAAUAAGGGGUGGGCAAGUUCUGGUGUCAGCCGCCGCGGUAAAACCAGCACCUCGAGUGGUCAGGAGGUUUAUUGGGCCUAAAGCAUCCGUAGCCGGUUGCAUAAGUUUUCGGUUAAAUCUAUGCGCUUAACGUAUAGGCCGCCGAAAAUACUGUGCAGCUAGGGAGUGGGAGAGGUACACGGUACUCGAUAGGAAGGGGUAAAAUCCUUUGAUCUAUUGAAGACCACCUGUGGCGAAGGCGGUGUACCAGAACACGUUCGACGGUGAGGGAUGAAAGCUGGGGGAGCAAACCGGAUUAGAUACCCGGGUAGUCCCAGCUGUAAACGAUGCAGACUCGGUGAUGCAUUGGCUUGUGGCCAAUGCAGUGCCGCAGGGAAGCCGUUAAGUCUGCCGCCUGGGAAGUACGUACGCAAAUAUGAAACUUAAAGGAAUUGGCGGGGGAGCACCACAAGGGUGAAGCUGCGGUUCAAUUGGAGUCAACCCA
rnacentral:rRNA from 1 species